rnacentral:rRNA from 1 species
UACGUAGGGUGCGAGCGUUGUCCGGAAUCAUUGGGCGUAAAGAGCUUGUAGGUGGUUUGUCGCGUCUGCUGUGAAAAUCCGAGGCUCAACCUCGGACUUGCAGUGGGUACGGGCAGACUAGAGUGUGGUAGGGGAGACUGGAAUUCCUGGUGUAGCGGUGGAAUGCGCAGAUAUCAGGAGGAACACCGAGUGGCGAAGGCAGAUC